AUUUGAGAACAGGCUAUUCAUAAGUAAUAGCUUAAUCUUAAUGUUAAUUUCUUGUGAUUUAUGUGUUAUAUCUGGAAUCAAAAUAUCUAUUGCAAAGGACUACAGAACAAAUGGUUGUGCAUGUGAAGAGAACAUUAAAUAUACAUCAUAGCUUAACUACAGAUUUAUCAGAUCCAUGUGAAGGUUUAAAUUGCAAAUGUAUAAAAUCCUAUCCUAUGACUAUAAUGUAUAAAUAUAUAAAGUACAAAUAAAAAAUGCUUUCCGUUGCCAG